UUUUUUUUCCAUUUGUUUCCUCUCUUCGCCCCCCGGACGAACACGAAAUUCCCUAUGGCCGCCCUCCGUCCCCGCAGGAGGCAGUGGAGCCCUGCGGAGCUCACAGCCCCCAGCCCUGCACCGGGCAUUGUCCCCCUUCCCGGCAUUCAGGUGAACAGGAACGCUGAGCCCCGAAUGACAAGACCUUCUACAUCAACAGAGUAAAUUGGGGAUUUUUCCCUUGAUCUGCCAGCUGUAUCAAAAAUACCCUCCUGGAUGCAGGACACGGGCGAGCGAGAGGCAGGAGCAUGUGCUAUUUUGAGGUUCAAUAUAAAAUAGAUACCCUUGGCUUCAGCAGUUCUCCGUAGCCCGGCCCACAGGAGCUGCAGAGCCCUCCAGGAACUGGAAAAUCCAGAUUCGCAGCAUCUCCCAGGGAAAGACGAUUUCCUACGAGCCCCCCCAGCACGAGGGUCCUGCUUAAGGUUAAGCUCGUGAGUGCCUUUGGUUUUGCACCGAGUUAAUCUCCCCCCAAAAUAAAAGACCUGGGGAAUGCUGGUGAAAACUGCUGAUGUUGCCAGCUGGUCCCUGGUUUAGUCCCAUCCCUCUUCCAGAGCCAGGCAUGGAUUUCACCACCACUGCAGGCAUUGAAUGCCCGUCCCCACACCGUGCCCUGUCCUGCUUCAGCUUCCCCUUCUGAAAACAGGGUAAACCCAUCCACCUCCCAGGGGUGCAUUAUCGUGGCUUAAAAUUAACACUCGAAAAUGUAUUUUCAAAUCCCUUCAUGAGAGGCACCAGAAGCACUAGGUGUUAGCAGAGUAGAUCUUUCACCUUUUAACAGCUGUUAAUUGCCAUUAAACCCAAACAUGCACAGCUUUAUUGGAACAGCGUCCGAAUUUCCAUGUCGUGUUGCAAAGCCUGUGCCCGCCCUCAGUUGUGCUCUCUGGCACGUGCCAGCUGCCUCGACAAGGUGUGACGGAUAAAUCCUGCCUCUCUGGUAGUCAUCCUGCACACUGGGACCCAUUUUGGGGUCUCCUGAUGCCAGGCUCUUUCCUUCCCCCUCCCCACCAUGCUGUGAGUCCUUAGCACCAGACCUACCGUCACUGCACGGAACUCCAACACCCCCUCCCUGACUCGCAGCAGAGAAGUAGAUGGGAUGCAAAACCCGUUCCCAAAAAUACCCCGAAGAAGCAAGCAGGAACCUGCCCGCAAGGAACUGGGUCCCUAAGGCUGAAUCCGGCCCGCAGCUGCCAGGAAAAGCACGUGCUGGGUGUCACAGGGAUGGGAAUAGCCCGCUGUGACAAACGGGAGUAAAUCAAAGUCAUCAACAGGCAGGGCUGGGGCAAGGCUGCCAGCACUGCCCUCCCUGUAGCCACCACUCUGGGGGAGUCCCUUCCCUGCUGUCUUUGGGGUCUGUUGAAUCAGCCCCAUCCACAGCAUCCCUCCAUCACCCUGGGACUGCCCUAUGGAACAGCCAAGUGCCAGGCAGAGGAGAAGCCCUUGGUGUUGUGGCAAGAGUUUUCCCCGAGUCCAGGAAGCUGCUGGCUCCUCACGGGUACUUUAUGCACCCCCAAACAACCAAACCCAGCUGGGAGUGCCUGCACCGGGUACCAAACUGCUAAAACACGUGAGAUGGAUUCAGCAGGGCAGGAGGGGAAGAAGUAUCUGUGGCUCCGAGCAUCUUGUCAGACCCCAACGUUUCCCCCCCAAGCCCCAGCACAAGGAGGGGUGUCCAUGGCUGGCUCCCAGGGCUAUCCCAUCUCUUUUCCCAUCACCCCAGUCCUCUGCAAGGGGGAAGGGGCGGUUGGACAAAACAAGCCCUUUCUGCUCCACAAAGCUCGUCAGCUAGCGGCUCUGGGCUUAUAAUUAUUAUUUCCUUAAAGACGAGCCGAGCAGCUAUAGACAAAAAAGCCCCCUCUUGUCGGAGCUGGAAUUUGAUGUCCUAACGACUGUUUUUGUACCGUGCCUGUUAGAGGAAAGAGCUCGGCAGGAGGGGGAAAGAGAGAUUUAAUUAUAGAGCUGCAUUGUGAUUUUGCACACAUAGCUGGCUGUUGUAAUCAGGUUACAAGUGUAUCUGAUUUUCUUCCCUCCCCUCCCUCUUCCUCCUCUUUCUCUCUCUUCUUUUUUUUUCUUUUUUUCUUUCCCCUCCCCCUUUUUCCUUUCGUUGGUCCAAAUUACUUGCUUAUGUUUGGGUGUUGCAGAGACGAGCUGUUAUUUGCCUGCACUGAAGAUCUUGAUCAAGGGAACAAUGUUUCCAAGGAUCCUCAGCAGCUCUUUGCUGGAGGAAGCCAAUGGUUCCCAGCUCCACCAGAAACCCCCCCUGAGCUGUGCCAGGCACUUGCAUCCCACCAUCCAGGGGCUCCCACCCCCACAGUAAGGAUGGACACCCAUAUAUACAUAUAUAUAUAUAUAUAUCUGCCCCAACUCCCCCAUGCUCCCCACAAAAUUCCUUCACAUCCAGGAUUCCCUCAAUAAAUUGAGGCUUAUGAAGAAGAGGAGAAGCUCGAUUUACCUCCACUGGAGCAAGAGAAAGGAAAGAGAGGAGAAAAGAAACCUUUUUAAAAGAAACUUUAUAUUUUCCUAUCUGAGUCAAGUGAUGCCGCACUGGGACUGGGGACUGUUGUUGGGUUCAUUUAAGAAUCUAUUGUUGUCCAUGUGAAUUCUUUUUUACAUUUCAAAUAACAGGAUUAUUUCCCCAGGGGGUAAUAUCCUGUAAUUUGAACACAAUAAUGGGAAUAAAUUACUUACUUAGAACUAAUAACGACAGCCUGAUUCCAAUAUAUAUAGGAACUGUAACAGCUUUGGUUAGUUAAAGUGUAAUUGUGUCGACGGAUGACAUUUUCUUUCAAAGGAAUCUGAAUGACUUUUAAUUAAAUUUGCUGGGGGUGGGGAAGAGAGGGAGAGAUACACCGGGAGAUCUCGGCUGCCGAGGCUGCGGCGGGUCCCAGCCCCGGUGCCCCAAGCUGAGCUCAGCCCCAAGCAAACCCAGCCCCGGCUGCAGUUUCCAGACCAAGCACAGAAUAGGGAAGAAGGAAACCAGUGCCAAAGCACAUGG